GACGAACGCUUGCGGCGUGCUUAACACAUGCAAGUCGAACGGAAAGGCCCUGCUUUUGUGGGGUGCUCGAGUGGCGAACGGGUGAGUAACACGUGAGUAACCUGCCCUUGACUUUGGGAUAACUUCAGGAAACUGGGGCUAAUACCGGAUAGGAGCUCCUGCUGCAUGGUGGGGGUUGGAAAGUUUCGGCGGUUGGGGAUGGACUCGCGGCUUAUCAGCUUGUUGGUGGGGUAGUGGCUUACCAAGGCUUUGACGGGUAGCCGGCCUGAGAGGGUGACCGGCCACAUUGGGACUGAGAUACGGCCCAGACUCCUACGGGAGGCAGCAGUGGGGAAUAUUGCACAAUGGGCGGAAGCCUGAUGCAGCAACGCCGCGUGCGGGAUGACGGCCUUCGGGUUGUAAACCGCUUUCGCCUGUGACGAAGCGUGAGUGACGGUAAUGGGUAAAGAAGCACCGGCUAACUACGUGCCAGCAGCCGCGGUGAUACGUAGGGUGCGAGCGUUGUCCGGACUUAUUGGGCGUAAAGGGCUCGUAGGUGGUUGAUCGCGUCGGAAGUGUAAUCUUGGGGCUUAACCCUGAGCGUGCUUUCGAUACGGGUUGACUUGAGGAAGGUAGGGGAGAAUGGAAUUCCUGGUGGAGCGGUGGAAUGCGCAGAUAUCAGGAGGAACACCAGUGGCGAAGGCGGUUCUCUGGGCCUUUCCUGACGCUGAGGAGCGAAAGCGUGGGGAGCGAACAGGCUUAGAUACCCUGGUAGUCCACGCUGUAAACGGUGGGUACUAGGUGUGGGGUCCAUUCCACGGGUUCCGUGCCGUAGCUAACGCUUUAAGUACCCCGCCUGGGGAGUACGGCCGCAAGGCUAAAACUCAAAGGAAUUGACGGGGCCCCGCACAAGCGGCGGAGCAUGCGGAUUAAUUCGAUGCAACGCGUAGAACCUUACCUGGGUUUGACAUGGAUCGGGAGCGCUCAGAGAUGGGUGUGCCUCUUUUGGGGUCGGUUCACAGGUGGUGCAUGGCUGUCGUCAGCUCGUGUCGUGAGAUGUUGGGUUAAGUCCCGCAACGAGCGCAACCCUUGUUCACUGUUGCCAGCACGUUAUGGUGGGGACUCAGUGGAGACCGCCGGGGUCAACUCGGAGGAAGGUGGGGAUGACGUCAAGUCAUCAUGCCCCUUAUGUCCAGGGCUUCACGCAUGCUACAAUGGCUGGUACAGAGAGUGGCGAGCCUGUGAGGGUGAGCGAAUCUCGGAAAGCCGGUCUCAGUUCGGAUUGGGGUCUGCAACUCGACCUCAUGAAGUUGGAGUCGCUAGUAAUCGCAGAUCAGCAACGCUGCGGUGAAUACGUUCCCGGG
rnacentral:rRNA from 1 species